UGUUUUAUUUGCCUUCCUGUUUAGAAAUCAGCAGAACAGGGAGACAUCUAGGACAAG
rnacentral:pre_miRNA from 1 species